UUCUGGAGUGAAGUGGAAUCUCAGGGUUGUUUUCAUUUGCAUCUCUCGAAAGACCAGUGAUGUUGAACAUUUUUUCAUAUCUCCCGCCUUUGCUCUCUAUUGAGGCUGUAUUACUGGCUAUUCACUGCGAAGAGAGACAUCUUCCUUUUUCACCUCUGCAUCAUUAAAAGAAUGGCUAUCACCAAGAAAUCAACCAAUGACAAAUGCUGGCAGGGAUGUGGAAAGAAAGGAACCACUCUCCACUGUUGGUGAGAGUGCAGACUGAUGCAACCACUAUGGAAAUCAGUGUGGAGAUUCCUCAAAACUAAAACUAGAGGUUCUAUUUCACCCAACUAUUCCCCUUUGAGUUAUCUUCCCAAAGGAGUUAA
rnacentral:lncRNA from 1 species